UUUCCGUAGGUGAACCUGCGGAAGAAUCAUUCAUAAUAAAGUGUUUUAUGGCACUUUUUAAAAAUCCAUCUCCACCUUGUGUGCAAUGUUAGAUCUCGUCAAUCUUGGCGAGAUUUUUAUACAUCAACUCAUUCUUUACCUAAUUUGUCUGAAAAAUAUUAUGAAUACUUAAUUCAAAAUACAACUUUCAACAACGGAUCUCUUGGCUCUC
rnacentral:misc_RNA from 1 species